rnacentral:rRNA from 1 species
AGUGAACGCUGGCGGUAGGCCUAACACAUGCAAGUCGAACGGCAGCACAGUAAGAGCUUGCUCUUACGGGUGGCGAGUGGCGGACGGGUGAGGAAUACAUCGGAAUCUACUUUUUCGUGGGGGAUAACGUAGGGAAACUUACGCUAAUACCGCAUACGACCUACGGGUGAAAGCAGGGGAUCUUCGGACCUUGCGCGAUUGAAUGAGCCGAUGUCGGAUUAGCUAGUUGGCGGGGUAAAGGCCCACCAAGGCGACGAUCCGUAGCUGGUCUGAGAGGAUGAUCAGCCACACUGGAACUGAGACACGGCCCAGACUCCUACGGGAGGCAGCAGUGGGGAAUAUUGGACAAUGGGCGCAAGCCUGAUCCAGCCAUACCGCGUGGGUGAAGAAGGCAUUCGGGUUGUAAAGCCCUUUUGUUGGGAAAGAAAAGCAGCAGGUUAAUACCCCGCUGUUCUGACGGUACCCAAAGAAUAAGCACCGGCUAACUUCGUG